rnacentral:lncRNA from 1 species
GCAGUGGCAGACAGCAACUUUUAUUUUCCCCAGCCACCAUAGCCCCACUCAAUAUGACAUUUAGACAGAUGAGCCAGCAAUACAGUAGUUACAUGUGUCUGGGAUUUGUUUUUUAAAUUAUAUGUACCGCUUUUAAUAGCCUGAUUACAGCUGUUCAGUAAGUGAUGCCUCUAGACUGAAGAGGACCGAAAUGAGAAGCAGGCCAGCUAAGAGGGCUGGGAGCAGCACGUUCCCCUUGUUAUUGCCAGCUAGUGGGGAGAGAACAUAUGGCCACUUUACAAAGUUAAGAAUCACAAACAGCAGACAAGAAUGAAUGAUUAAUGCUGGAGUUCCUGGAGUAUGGGCCAAAGAAGUUCCCCCAAAACUAUUGUGACCAUGAAAUUUGGAAGCCAAGCAUAGGAUACCAGGAGAGGUUGGAUAGAAGCAAGAUUUAUCAGAAUUAGCCUUGGAAUCUCUGACUCAAGUAUGGACUAUCAUCAGCCAUUAGCACCAGACAAAAUGCAGCCACUGACAAUCUUCUGGGAUGCCGCUAAGUAUACUUGACCUAACAACUACCAGUAAAACUUUCUGACAUGUGCUUUGAUUCUAGAUUAUCAACUAAGAAUUCAGGGAAACAUUCUACUAAAUAACAUGUCCUAUGUAAGUGAGAUAAUUAUAACAGCCUCCUCACUAGGUUAUGGGCCCCCAAAUUUGUACUUUUCAGAUCUUUCUUCUACGUUGCAGUCAGACACAGAUUUGAUCACGCCACACCAUUGCUCAGAAUUCUUUGGAUGCAACUUACUGCCUAUAGGAUGAAGACCACACUCAGGCAUUUCCUUGAAUGCUGACACAAUCCUACCCCAACCUACCUCACGAUCUUCCUACUGCAUGCAUGCUCCCUUCAGAUCUAAUUGGCUUUUUUUCACUAAUGCCUGCACUUGACCUAAGUGAAGAUUCUGAAGCAGGAGAGAAACUGGUUUUCUAGGCCUAUCUUGAGUCUCUUUUAUCAUUGACCAUCUUUCGCUACCACAAAAGAAUCAUAUUCUAUUGCACAAGACCUAGUGGGCCUCAUUUAAGAUUUUGAACAUUAUUCCAACAAAAUUCCUAAAAUUUUAAGUUUGUACUUAUAUCAUAAAGCUAGACCUUGCAUUUAAAACUCACCUUUAGAAAACUUGCUUUAAAAAAACAAAAACAAGUAAUUUUGAUGAAUUUGGAAAUUCUGUGACUUAAUCUUAUCUGUUAUCUGAGUAAGAGUUUAAGCAACAGUGACACUGGAAAAUAAAAUGAUAUUUAUGUAUAAAACAAUGAUAAUACUAUAGAAUGUCAUCUUUCAGGGUAACAUUUGUUGAGUUACAGAACUGAUUCAUUGAUUGCACUAAAGUUAUACCAUUGAAUAACUUGCAUGGAGGGAAACCAGAAUUAUAACCACGGGUAAAAAUUGAUAUAUUAGAGGUGAAUUUUGGAAGAAAUAAAAAUGUAGAAGGCAAUUAUAAGGGGAGCACUUAAAUUAGGUAUGAAUGGUUUAUGCUAUUGAUUAAAGCAUUUUAAAAAUCAAUAAAAGAACACUUUGUACCAAGUAGCUUUCAGGAACUUUCAGGGAAGACCAUUUGAUUCAGUUCAAAAGUCAGAAGCCUCUGCCCUAACAGGUAAAAAGCGUGGUUCCAUCUCCUUUUUAAAAAUAAAGCAAAUAACUACAAUUUAGAGUCUAAAAUCAAGCAUUAAUGAUCUGCUCCAGUCAUUUUUUAAAGAAGCAAGCUAUAUUAAAAAUUUUGAUACUUAAUGUGAAAAUUAUAUUUUUAUUUAUAUUUUACUACAUGCUGUUAUCUUCUAAUAACAAUUCAUGCCUAAUUUAUGUGCUCCCCUUCUAACUGCUUUCUAUUUUUUUGCUUCUUCCAAAAUUCAUCCCUAAUGUAUCCAUUUUUACCUGUGGUUGUAAUUCUGAUGUCCCUUCUUGCAAGCUAUUGAACAGUAUAAAUUUUAUUAUCAUUUUUAAAAUUUUUUUAUGCGUUGAUAUUAAAUGUUUAUAUUUGUAAAGUACAUGAGAUGUUUUGAUACAGCAUGCCAUGUGAAAUAAACACAUCAUGGAGAAUGGGGUAUCCAUCCCCUCAAGCAUUUAUCAACAGUCUAACUGUCAUGCAGUUAUAAACUUCUUAGGAGAAGGAUCUCUUGUGUUAUAUAAAUUAUAAAAUUUAAUGCCAUAUCCUUGUACAAGGUAGGCUAACAAUGCCUACUUUGAAUUGUACUAUAUUCAUUCAAGAAGCUUUUUAAAUCUCAGGCUUUCUGACUCUUUGUUCUGCAUUUCUCCCCUUUCAACUAAAGAAUAUAUUUUAUAGGUGAGCUACAGGUGGUUGUAUGUAUGCAUCUGUCAGUCUUAUUCCUAGGAACCCAUUCGUGAUAGCUCUGCCACAUCCAUUUGACAAUAAACGACUCAAGUUCAAGAACGCUAACUGCUUUCUUGUCAACUUCUCUGAAAGUAUGUUUAAAACACAUUUUCCUGACUCAUACAUUUAGCUUAGCCAGGUCACCACCAGGCCCGGCCUUGAAAGCAGCAGAUGUUGACGGGUUAAUAAAAAAAAGAGUAUCAUGAGAAGUGGUGACCAAAGCCCUCUGCUCAAAAUCUAUCCUAAAAACUAUGGCUGACAUACUUGUGAAGUAUAUUAAAUGAGAACCUUUCUUGCUAUCUAAUUUGGGCUGAAAUUCCAGAGCCAAGAACUCUAAGUACCCUCACAUUCUAAAAUGAGUUGCAGAGUCCUUGCAGGCAUUCACAGAAGGAGACUCCAAACAGCCUUGGUGACUCCUAGGUAUCACCUACCCUAGGAAAAACCUACACUGCCAGAGUUUGGUGCAGCAGGACAAUGGGUGGUUCCUUUGGAAAGGGUGACCUCAAAGAAGACUUUGGUUCUCUUGGACUUUGCAUGAAAGUAACAGCCACAGGACAAUGUGAAUCCAACAAAUAACAUCUGUGGAAGUGGACUUCCAGAAUUCAGGCAUCAAGUCAUAAGCAACUGGCCAAAAGAGGCAGCACCUAUGUUGGAAAAAGUCAGUGAGAAGUCUCAGGAAAUGUGUAACAGUGUGUGCAUGUGUGUGUGAGUCUCCAAAAACUUCCCCAAAGAUUCAGGGAAGAAGGCAAUGAUUUGAAUAUUCAAUAAAACCCAAAGGUCACUUCUGUCUCAUAAAUCUCUCUCUGAACCUGUUUCCAACUUUGGAGAAGCCAGUGGCCCAGGAUGUUGGAAAAAAAAAAGUGUGGAAAAGUGAGUGGGGACAUUGGUAAAAGUUGAACUGUGUCUUCCCUAAGAUAGGGAAGCAAAGAAAUCAGAAAUGUUCAUUCGAAUGAGAGUUUGGGUGUGGAAUAUUAAACAGAACUACUCUUUCUAUUAACUAAAAUAUGUUACUGUUUAUUCAUACCUGAGAGUGACUGGAAAAGCUAGAGGACCUGCAAGAGAUAACUCAUGGGUAGAGAAAAAUGAACAAGCAGCUCCAAAUGAUAUUGAAAAAAGAAAUAAAGCACUUUUGGAAUUUUGUCUCUAAUACACCAGUUUGUUCCAUAAAUUUGUUGUAUUUAUUUCUUAGUUUUGUCUAAUGCUUGGAAGGCACUGUUAAAAAAAAAUUAUCUAUGCUGAGCCAUCAUACCUGAACUAUCAGAACUCCUUCAGUUGCAAAACAAAACAAAAAACAACUCAAACUAGAUUUAAAAAUAGACAAAUGUCUUGGUCCACAUAACUUAUAUGGCUUCGUGCACAAUUGAAUCCAGUGGCUAAAGUAAACCAUUAGGAUUUUCUUACUCUGUUUGUCAUCUCUGUUGGCUCUCUUUAUGUCUCCUACAGAUGCUUUCCUCUCUGUGAUUUUGCAUCUGUUAUUCCUCAGCAACAAAUAUAAACUAUUAGAG